UCUGAAAUUCGUCGAUGCUUUUGGACUCGUUUGGACGUGUUGUCGACAUCUCAUGGUUGCUGAAAAUCAUUAUGGUCCUUCUAUCUUAUGAAAGCGUCAAAUUGAGUUAUUUCAGGUUAUCGAUUGGGGAUCCACGCUCUGAAUAGGUGAUAUUGGGUGGGAGUAAUUUUUCGUAUUUUGUUGAGUUAUGAACAAUUUAGAUUUUUGUAAAUUUGAUUGAUCAAUUGUGUUAUUUUUAUCGGUUA